CAGUCGCCGCGGUAAUACGUAGGGUGCGAGUGUUAAUCGGAAUUACUGGGCGUAAAGCGUGCGCAGGCGGUUGUGUAAGACAGGUGUGAAAUCCCCGGGCUUAACCUGGGAACUGCGUUUGUGACUGCACAGCUAGAGUAUGGCAGAGGGGGGUGGAAUUCCACGUGUAGCAGUGAAAUGCGUAGAGAUGUGGAGGAACACCGAUGGCGAAGGCAGCCCCCUGGGCCAAUACUGACGCUCAUGCACGAAAGCGUGGGGAGCAAACAGGAUUAGAUACCCCCGUAGUCCCUGUCUCUUAUAC
rnacentral:rRNA from 1 species